UACAGAGGGGGCAAGCGUUAUUCGGAAUUAUUGGGCGUAAAGGGCGCGUAGGCGGUUUGUCGCGUCUGCCGUGAAAGUCCGGGGCUCAACUCCGGAUCUGCGGUGGGUACGGGCAGACUAGAGUGAUGUAGGGGAGACUGGAAUUCCUGGUGUAGCGGUGAAAUGCGCAGAUAUCAGGAGGAACACCGAUGGCGAAGGCAGGUCUCUGGGCAUUAACUGACGCUGAGGAGCGAAAGCAUGGGGAGCGAACAGG
rnacentral:rRNA from 1 species